ensembl:snRNA U6 U6 spliceosomal RNA
GGGCUCACUUCUGGCAGCACAUACACCAAAACUGGAAUGAUGUAGAGAAGGACAGCGUGGCCCCUGCGCAAGGAUGACACACAAAUUCGUGAAGCUUUCCAUGUUUUC